UACGGAGGGAGCUAGCGUUGUUCGGAAUUACUGGGCGUAAAGCGCGCGUAGGCGGCUUUGUAAGUUAGAGGUGAAAGCCCGGAGCUCAACUCCGGAACUGCCUUUAAAACUGCAUCGCUUGAAUCCAGGAGAGGUGAGUGGAAUUCCGAGUGUAGAGGUGAAAUUCGUAGAUAUUCGGAAGAACACCAGUGGCGAAGGCGACUUACUGGACGAUUGUUGACGCUGAGGUGCGAAAGCGUGGGGAGCAAACAGG
rnacentral:rRNA from 1 species